GUCACGUUGUCGAAUCGCGUUCGGUCUGUGUGGGCCUUUAUAAAUGUAUAUAAAAUGUACACUUGAUAAUGUCCAUCUACAAUUGAACUUUCAUGCAACUAAUAAGCGAUAACUGGUUAAAAUUUUGAUUUUUAAAAUUUUCCUAUAUUGUUAUAGUUGCUAUUAUGAGUUAUUAUGCGCCCGCCAGCUUGUCCCAGAUUUCUGGUAGAAUGAGAUUCAUAAUCGAAAUUCCAUCUAUAAAACCAAAAGAAUCCGGAUAAUUUUGGAAGAUUUUAAAACUUUCUCUAUAUAUUUAUCUUAUUAUAACAAAUGUUUAUUUUUGUGCAAUAUUUUUUAGGACCAACAGUUACAACCCAGCUACCAAAAUCUUGGCAGAAACUUGUGAAAUAGAUAUCUAUAAUAUUUACAGGUAUGUGUCAAGUGCAUUAUUUAUAGUUAACCGUAUAAUGUUAAUAUAUUUUGCGUUCACUCGGGACGCACGGACGAAUUCUAGCACAGCUAAGAGAACGGUCAAUAUUUAUGACGGGGGGGGGGGGGGGGGGGGG